UUCUCCACAAACUUGAAACUGUUUUCUUAAAGUAAAAGUUGGAAGCAAAGAUCUAAAUAUUGUUAAUGUGAUUUUAUUUGUUUUUAGGCAGAUAAACCCUGAUUUUGCAUACAUUUUAAGUCUUAAAAUGUAUGCAUCAACCUGAGCUACAGAACCAUUCCAGGAUGUGUUUUUUCUUCCUAACAUUGAUACUUUGACAAAAAAGCAAUGUCUAAAGUAAUUGCUUAAAAUAUCCAAUGUUCACCACAAUACACAGAAAUACAGUCUUGGUCUCUUGGUCUUUUUUUCGGAAGAACCAGCCUCGACUCCAUGCAAGAUGGUUAGUAAUGGUAGCUAACGCCAACAGCUUAGCGUUAGCUAAGUCCAAAUGAAAAUCCUCAAAAACAUCAUGGUGAUUUAUUCAUCCACCCAUUGGCUGCAUUUUAUCACAUCAUAACUCUUUUUUUCUUCUUGUAACAAACUGAGCUGACAUUCGUCGUGAAUUAGCUUAGAUAGUUUUACACGUUCCACUUCGGUGUCUGUUUCAGGGAGGAAGGUCUUUGGUGGGGCACCAACCCGCUCCGUGUCCCAUGUAAAUAUUCAUCAGCUUCUAUGUAAACAACCAUCCAACGCAAAUAGUUUAUAUUACUCCUGUUUGUGUAAACCGCUGUGACAUUUUUCAAACCGGUGUUAUAGCAGCUGCUACGGGAGCCUAAGAAGGUCAAGCAGAAGAAAGAAAGCGCCGAUAUUGUGUGAAGAGAGAAUCUAAAUGCGACGAUAGCAAGUGGAAGCCCGGAAAGUACUCUUAAAAAAAAAAGGGAACGGAUUAGCAAAAGACUUACCCUUCUUUGGUUUGAAUCACACAAUAUGACUGUAAAAGAAGCCGAUUUUUUUUUAUUUUUUCUUUUUUUUUCUAUUCUUUGCUCCAGGCCGUGACAUUUUGCCAACUUAUCACCCUAUCGGGGUCAAGAAGUCUCUUGCCACAAACUGAACAAACAAGCUUGCUCUGUUUUAUUCAACCACAUGAGGAUGAAGUCCUUGGUUUACACACCGUCUGCGGCGCACUGAAGGCACCGUGGUCCAAGGCUGGCCUUCGUCCAGUUCCUACACAAUUGUGCCACCUUCUGGAGUAAAUGGUGAAAUAUAGCAGGAACAAGGAGGAAUUCAGAAGCCACUCAAGCUAAGAGUUUCUUUGUGCCGACAGACGUCUUCCCCGUUUCUAUUUCAUCUCCAGUCUGUCACAGAAAAGGCUGCGGUGUUUGCCUGCAUGUUGUUGGUGCACUAGUGAAGCGAGGGUGUACACAUGGCUCAUAUUUGGGAGGCUGGGGGACGAAAAGAGAAGAUUGGGGAGUGAUUCAAUCGCUACACAAAUGGAUUUGGCUAAUAGAGGCAGCCUCUGAUCCUGACUGGUACACAGCUGGAGCCUCCCUAAUUGGAGAGGGUGAAGAGUGGAGAAGAGAGUGGAUGGGGAGAAAGAGAGAAUAUGGCCCCCGGAGAAAAUGCACCUCCGCUGCAUCACUGCUGGGCUGACGUGGCUCAGGGCAAACGUUUAAAAAAAAACCCACACGGCUCAUCAUAACUCAUUGUUAAUAUUCUCGCCCCUGAAAGCAGCUUUGUGUAAUCAUUUCUGGUAUUCUAAAUAUCUGAUGAAGGGUGGUCUAAGAGCAAAAAGUGGCCCACUUCACCGCAGUGAGGACCAUUAGAGAAAUGCUAUAACUAUUUAUCAGCGCUGAGUACCUCGGCUCUUUUUUUCUAAAUUGGAGUCGUCGUAAAAUGUGUUUCCCUGAAAUAGUUUGAGGUAAAAAUGCAAAGCAGGCAGAGCCGAGUGAAAUUCCUCCUCCUAAAAGGAGUGAAAGUCAAAUUCCUCAAGUUUGCUUCGUUUUUUUGUGACGCAAUACUUGUCCCAGAUUUAUUUCUGCAUAGCUUUUGAUGUGCCAGUUUGAGUAUUUUGGGGUUGAAUGUGAAUUUGUCCAGUAUUUUCCCUCUUUUAGGUAAUUAUUUUAAUGCCGCUGACUCCCAUUCAUAAUGCAUUUUUCUGAGUAUACUGCUAUUGCAGUUUUUUUUUGUUUGUUUGUUUGUUUUUUGUCAUUCGUUGAUCUUCAAAUCGUUUCAGAUUUUUCAUGAUGCGUUGUCCAACGAGGUGAAAAUAUUUAAUCUGCCAAGCAUACGGGAUGGGAAUUAAACAACUUUUAAAUGACUUUGCAUGAAAUGUGAAAAUAGUCCAGAGUCAAUGGCCAUUUUUGAAAAAAUAUUUCCAAAUUUGCAUAUGUGGAAUGGGACAAAACAAAAUCUGCCAAAUAAGGACUUUGACUGCUAGGACUGGCAUUUAAGGAGUUCAACAAACAUCUUGAAAAUGUAUGAAUAUGUGUUGUGUAUGUUGAAAUAUAUAGUGGUACUUAUAAAAAAAUAAAAACACGAUUGUACACAA